rnacentral:rRNA from 1 species
AUUGAACGCUGGCGGCAGGCCUAACACAUGCAAGUCGAGCGGCAGCGGGAAAGUAGCUUGCUACUUUUGCCGGCGAGCGGCGGACGGGUGAGUAAUGCCUGGGGAUCUGCCCAGUCGAGGGGGAUAACUACUGGAAACGGUAGCUAAUACCGCAUACGCCCUACGGGGGAAAGCAGGGGACCUUCGGGCCUUGCGCGAUUGGAUGAACCCAGGUGGGAUUAGCUAGUUGGUGGGGUAAUGGCUCACCAAGGCGACGAUCCCUAGCUGGUCUGAGAGGAUGAUCAGCCACACUGGAACUGAGACACGGUCCAGACUCCUACGGGAGGCAGCAGUGGGGAAUAUUGCACAAUGGGGGAAACCCUGAUGCAGCCAUGCCGCGUGUGUGAAGAAGGCCUUCGGGUUGUAAAGCACUUUCAGCGAGGAGGAAAGGUUGGUAGCUAAUAACUGCCAGCUGUGACGUUACUCGCAGAAGAAGCACCGGCUAACUCCGUGCCAGCAGCCGCCGUAAGAC